rnacentral:rRNA from 1 species
GACGAACGCUGGCGGCGUGCUUAACACAUGCCAGUCGAACGGAAAGGCCUGCUUUCCCUUGUGGAUUGCGGGUACUCGAGUGGCGAACGGGUGAGUAACACGUGAGUGAUCUGCCCCCAACUUGGGUAUAAGCCUGGGAAACUGGGUCUAAUUCCCGAUAGGACUGCAGGGUGGUGCCUGUGGUGGAAAACGAUUUUCUAGUGGUUGGGGAUGAGCUCGCGGCCUAUCAGCUUGGUGGUGGGGUAAUGGCCUACCAAGGCGGCGACGGGUAGGCGGCCUGGGAGGGUGGACGGGGACAUUGGGACUGCGAUACGGCCCAGGCGCCUACGGGCGGCAGCAGUGGGGAAGAUUGGGCAAUGGGCGGAAGCCUGAUGCAGCGACGCCGCGGGGGGGAUGCCGGCCUUGGGAUGGUAGACUCCUUUCGACCGCGAGGAAGCCACCUGGUUGGAAGGGUGGUGACGGUAGUGGUAGAAGAAGCACCGGCUAACUACGUG